rnacentral:tRNA from 1 species
GAGGAUGAAGCUAUCUAGCGUUUAACUGUUAAUUAAAAGACAGCACCCUUAUUGGUGCCUUCCUUU